GUGGUGCCUGACUCUGCCAGACUCUCUGUCUGUGCCCCAGGGAAGCGACAUGCAGCUCCCAGGACUUUGUUUCCUUCAUCGGUAAAAUAGGAAUUUAAAAACCGGCACUAAACGUCUGCUCUCAAGGAUCACUGUGAGGAUGAAACGGCAGCUCCAGUAUGGCCCAGCCAGGUGUGGACAGGAGGCUUCUGGACAUGAAGAUGUGAACACACUGUGUGGUCUGCAAGCCUGGUGUGCACACGGCUGCUGGCUGACACGCCUGUCCCAGCCACAGCCCCAUGGCAUGCUUGUCUCCAGGCAUGAGUCCAAGCUGGCUCCAUCUUUCAGCACUGGACCCUAGAGAGCAUCCAGUCUUCUUCAAACCUCUGUUUCCCCAUCUGCAAAAUGGCAGUCUCAGGGCCUCCACCCUGCACCUCAAAUUCUGAGGGCCUGAUGCAUUUCUGAGUUCCCAACUUUUGGAUUUUUAGAAAAGUAAUAGAGUGUGGGUGUUACUUCAUAUGUAACACUAUGUUAUGGAUUAGCUCCAAAAUGUACCCCAAAAGUCAUAUGGGUGGAAGGUGACUGCAUCAUGGAUUCACUCACUGGUGACCUCAGGGCUGAGUGUGCUGUUAGGCGUGGGCCUGGCUGACGCUGGUCCCUGGGGUCUCUCUGCUUCCUGGGUGCAGCUGUCCUCUGCUGGGCCUUCCACCAAACCUUUCUGCUGUGGAGCUGGUAGACCAUGGACAGAACCCACUGAGACUGUGAGCUAAGUAAACCUGUCCUCCCCUAGGCUGUGGGUGCUGGUAUUGUAUUCCAGCAAUGGAACGUGACCGAGACACACCACUAGUCCUGCGUCAAACUUACCAACAUUUCUCCAGCAAAUCUAUGAAUGUCCAAAUUAAGCAGAUUACGUAAAACCACGAGUAAAUUCAUGCUAGCUGAGGUCAGGUUUUGCCACCAAAUGAAGUAAUUGUUUUAAGUUGCUGUGUUCAGAACAUUGUGCGUGAAGAACUAGAGAUGUGAGUAGCCGUCCAGUGCCACCUCCCUCAUGGGAAGACAGGAGUCCUGUGCCUGUGGAGGGUGCUGCAGGGACAUGGCUUUACAACACUGGCUGCCAUGCACAGCUUUUCAUGGUGGCUCUGAGCCAGGAGCCAUUUUCCUUAUGAUUGGUGUAUGUUUGUGGUACAUAAAAGUUCCGUAUAUGUGCCCCUCUCUCUUCCCUGGGUCCCUGUCCCCUUCUCCACAAAGUCUGCCUCCCCGUUUCCUACCAUCUCUUUUAUUUUGCUCUUUAGAUUAUUUAUAUUUUGGGUUUCUCAGAGAUGAGAAACUGAUAUUUAACCCCUGUCUGAUUUCUUUCACUUAGCAUGAUGGUCUCAAGAUGCACCCAUUCUGUUAAUGACUCACAUCUGUCCUGCUUCUCAGCUGAGUUGUACUCCAUCGUGUGUGCAGCAUACACCACUUUUUUUUGGUACUGGGAAUUGAACUCAGUUCCUUGCACUUGCACAGCAGGCAGCAGAACCACUGAGCUAAAUCCCCGGCCCUACGCCACAUUUUAAUGCCCAUAGUGAAGAGGGGAACAGAGGCCCAGGGCAGUUGAGUAGCUGCUCAUUGUACAUAGCUCUAAAUGACCAGCUGGCCCUCAAUGUCCUAGCCUGGCAGCAUCCACCCAUUAUGUGCUUGUCACUAAGCUGGGAAGGAGAAGUGGCAACUCAGGCCUCUGACUCCUUUCUUUGUUUGCUUGCGGUCACACUCUGGGCAGGUGCUCACCACUGAAAUGGACUCCAGCCAGGCCUGGACUUUGACUCUGCCCUCUCAGCUCACCAGGCCUCUACUGGAGGGAGAUGUGAAAGAGAAAGUUAAAAGCGAGCACGUCUUUCUGGAAGUCUGGCUGGGCCUGCACUCAAUCUCCCAGCCCCGCUGUCCGCACUGCAGUGCUUGCUCUCCUCGGGCAGCGGCCUGACUGCCUGGCUGCUCCUGCUCUGUCCAGGCAGCCCAGCUGGUCAGAGAUCCCUGCAGGGCCCCGGCCCUCAGAGAGGUCACCCAGUCCCCCUUCCCAGCGGCCAGGUUGCCUGGCCAGUGUGGAUGUGGGGAGGAGCAGAGGUCUCCUGGAUGCUGUGGCUGCACAGACAUCUCCAGACUGCCAAGUUCUGCCUGCCUCCCGUGCAGCCAGCACCCGGCCAGGCUUGAAUCAUUCUUCAGCUUGAGCUGCGUCCCACGCUGCCGGCUCCAGUUCGAUCCCUGCAGAGCAGCACUCAUCCACCCACACUUGCUGCUGGCACCCGGUUGCCUGUCAAACUCACCCCGCUGCAUGCUGGGUCCUCACACCCAUGGCACACAUCCCAGUUCCAGGGUCGCUGCAGUGACGGAUUGAGUCCCAGAGCUUGAAAUUGUCCUCAACUCUGCCCUUGCAUCCCUGUCUGAUGGUGAGGUCUCUGGGUUCCUGCAGCCUGGUCACUCUGGUCAGCGGGUCCAGCUCCGAUGACUGCAGUGUUUCCUGACAUGUCCCCUGCUGCCUUGUGUGUGGUUUGUGAAAUCAUGAGAAAUAGACACAUUGAUCUCUGCCCUGGUCCCUGGCCUACAGCUGCUGAAGCCCUUGCAGACAGGGGCACUGGGAGGUUGUUUGUUCUAGUAUCGGGUCUUUGACCCCAGUUCCAGAGCUCCUAGGAUGUCUGUCAUUUCCUGAGUGAUAGGAGGGUCCAGCACACAGGUCCUCGUCCUCUGGAAUUUCCUGGGAGGUGAGAGUAUCCAUUGUUCCUGUGAGGGACCUCUCUGGUGGGCUCCUGGGAAGCGGGAGGACCAAGCCAGCUCCACCUGCCCCUCAUCGUCUGGGAAGAGGAUUAAUAAUUGGUUAUGCAGAUGGGAUGCAGCCUCCAUAAAAAUCCCUGAAUUCCUGGGUUUGAGAGCUUCCGGACAGCUGAACACACAGAAGUCUCUGGAGGGGAACCCCGAGGAUGGACCCUGUCCAGGGCCCUCUCCACUGUGUCCCUUGUUGUAUCCUUUAUGACAAAUGACUGUACUAUGUAGAGUGUGCUCCUGCAUUCUGCUUUAACAGAUUAACAAUGUCGAUGAGGGACAGUAGGAACCCCUAGUCUGUAGCCUGUCAGUCAGAAGUUCCAGAGGCCUGCACUCGCAGGUGGCAUCGCAAGAGGGGACAAUAUGGCUGAGCCCUGUGACGCUGUCUCCAAGUGGACAGGGUCAGAAUCGAGUUGAGCACACACUUGGUGCUGAAGGCUGGAGGGCUGGCUGUGAAUGGGAGAAAACCUCACCCACGCUUGGAUCUGGGAAGUGUGUUGUGUGGUCUUCACAGUAAGACUAUUUUCUAGCUGGAGUUAGCUCAGCUGACCCCAUCUGCCUGGGUGACUUUCACAAACUUAUUGAGUGAAAGGUGCUAAAUACAUGACUAAAUGUAUGUGAAGUUCAAGAAUAAGCAGACUGGCAGAGGUAGGUGCUAUCAUUGCCUCUAGGGCGGGUGUGCCGCAGACCAGCUGCAGUCGAUGUAGGGUAGGAAGGGGAGAUGUCCUGGGCCGGAGAUGAGAAAAGAACCUUCACAAGCAAUGUUCAGGUUCCCUCUGAGAAGUCUUUGGGUCUGAUUUAUUUUUAUAUCUUUAAGCAACAGCUAAGAGGCAUUGGGCGGAACAUGUUCACAUUUUAUGUUGCCUUAGCAAUAUCUGAUGAGGUACAGGUUAUUUUUGCUAAACAGUAUAUUUUUUCUAAGCUGAUUCAUUUCAUUGAACAUCAUGAAUACAUUUCUUAAAAAUUGCAAUUGUUCCCUCAUUGUCCCAUACCUAAGCAGAACAAAAAGUAACUUAAUCAAAUUAAAUGUCAAACUUGUGGUCACCAGCUAGCCCUUGAGAAACUGCACAAUGGUUAAUAUAGUUUGCUAUUAGCUCUAUUUAUCUUAACUAAAUGUCAUUUGGGUUCAUAGUCCAUGAGCAGGAGAUAUUUACAGCACUUUGAGAGAUAUUGAGUAACUUGCCUCCUUAAUGCAUUUACCUGUCUUAACGUUCUUUUUAUUUCCCAUUUCCCACUAUUUCUUACAUCUAAAGCCUGACCUUUCAAUCUCUUCAUAAGACCCCUUUAGUAAAAAGAAUGUCAGCAAUAAGAGAGGGAGUUAUAGUAGUGGGCAACAGAGGGGGUUUUAGGAGAGGUUUCUUUAGGAGUGGAUGUGGCAAUAGAACUAAGAGAAACUGGAAUUUGGGGCUUAUGAGCCAGAUCAGAUUUCAAUAUAUCAUUGCCAAUUUGCCUCAUGGAGAGUUUGUUGUUAGUCAUAAACACAAUGGCUCCUGUGAUCAGAGGAAUAAUUAUAAACAUUAUGGCAAGAAAAAAAUAAAACAUGAGGGUACGAUGUGUUCCACCCUUUCUUUCCCCCAGCUGGAACUUUGUCAAGCAGCAAUGGAGGUCCGUUGGGCUUCGCCACAGUUCUGCAUGACCUAAAAUCCCUCCACACUUGGAUUUCAUGAUGUUUUAUGGAAUGUGCAGUGACCUUGUUUUCCACGUUUCGAACCAGAAAAUCUUUGGACUCAUGGGAACAUGGGUUUGGAGCCAGACAGACAGCCUGACAACAGGGCUGUGGAAGAACUCAAGGCCGGUGCUGGUCCAGGGAGAGGAAGCACAGGGCCGAGGCUGGGCCAGAUGGUGCCACUUGUACAGGCUGGAGUUCCUCGUAGGACCACCUGCUUACCUUCAUGCUGCCCGACCCCACUGCAGCCCUGGGAACCCUCUGCUCCAUGAACUGACUUGACUCCACUCGGUAAAAAUCUACCCUCAGGAGCUGUAACAGGGUGAGGGCCUAAGGCACCUGGGCUCAACUUUUCUCCCAUGAAUUAUACUUCCUGCCACAGAAAUCUGGAAGCUGCGAUACACACAGACGUCAGCCUUCUAACUUAGCCUGGCCGGCACGGAAAUGAAGUCCUAGGUCCCCCACCUUGAGGACACCCGACUCCAUGGGAACUCCACCCCAGACCAAGAUGCAUCUCUGUCCCAAGGCUUGUCCUCCAUUCUCUGAGAGGGGACUGUUUUAAUUUUGCCUAAUAAACCUCUUCACUCCUCUUGCUGAUGAAUCUUGAAAAUACUUUUUCUGCGAUGGAAGUCAGCGAACUUUCAACCUGUUGCAUGGGUGUGAAUGCUGCUGAUCGAGGGGACCUGUCUCUGGGCCGACGAACCUGCCCUCACCAGCAUGGCGCAGUCGCAGCUGAAGAGAAGAAGUGGCGCCACGGGCAUCCACACACUCGCAGAGUGCACACCGUGGGCCAAGCCGAGAGGUGCCUCAGUGCUAACAGAAUUCUGCACAGGGUUAGAUGCGAG
rnacentral:lncRNA from 1 species